AUUGAACGCUGGCGGCAGGCCUAAUACAUGCAAGUCGAGCGGAGCGGCGGACGGGUGAGUGAUGACUAGGAAUCUGCCUGGUAGUGGGGGAUACCGUCCGGGAACGGGCGCUGAUACCGCAUGCUAGCAGGUGAGCCUAGGUCGGAGUAGCUAGUUGGUGGGGUCAUGGCCUACCAAGGCGACGAUCCGUAGCUGGUCUGAGAGGAUGAUCAGUCACACUGGAACUGAGACACGGUCCAGACUCCUACGGGAGGCAGCAGUGGGGAAUAUUGGACAAUGGGCGAAAGCCUGAUCCAGCCAUGCCGCGUGUGUGAAGAAGGUCUUCGGAUUGUAUAGCACUUUAAGUUGGGAAGCGUUACCAACCGAGUAAGCACCGGCUAACUUCGUGCCAGCAGCCGCGGUAAUUC
rnacentral:rRNA from 1 species